GGCGUGGUGGCCGAGUGGUUGAAGGCAGCGGUCUUGAAAACCGCCAAGGGCGAAAGUCCUUCGUGAGUUCGAAUCUCACCCACGCCG
rnacentral:tRNA from 1 species